AGAGAGAGACAUGCGCGCAUAUCAAUAAGCGGAGGAAAAGAAACUAACAAGGAUUCCCUUAGUAACGGCGAGUGAAGCGGGAAGAGCUCAAAUUUGAAAUCUUCAAGGUUUUACCUUGACGAAUUGUAGUUUAAAGAAGUGUUUUCUGCUGAAGUUUUGGUAAAAGUUCUUUGGAAUAGGACAUCAUAGAGGGUGAGAAUCCCGUAUUUGACCAUUAUUUUCAGCUUUGUGAUACACUUUCAAAGAGUCGGAUUGUUUGGGAAUGCAGUCCAAAAUGGGUGGUAAAUUUCAUCUAAAGCUAAAGUAUUGGCGAGAGACCGAUAGCGAACAAGUACCGUGAGGGAAAGAUGAAAAGAACUUUGAAAAGAGAGUUAAACAGUACGUGAAAUUGUCAAAAGGGAAGCGUUUGACACCAGUGUUGUUUUCUCGAAAAUCAAUUAAAAAUGGCUCGAUUUUGUAUUGUUGAGACCUUAAAAGCUCACUGUACAUUUUUCGUGUCUUUUUAAUGCACUUUUCGUUUAACAAGUCAACAUCAGUUUCUUUUGUUGUAAAAGGGUCAUUGGAAGGUGGCUUUCUUUUCGGAGAAAGUGUUUAUAGCCUUUGGCCUCUGCAAUCGGAGAGACUGAGGUCUGCAGCGUAGACUCUUCGGGGUUAGAUACAUUUGUGCUAAGUUAUAGCUUUUUAUAGACAACUUGUUGACUAUAAUUAGUCUUGUAGCUUACUCGCUUAUGCUAUUUUACCUACGCUUAGGAUGUUGAGUCGUAGAGCACGCAG
rnacentral:rRNA from 1 species